rnacentral:lncRNA from 1 species
CACUAAAAAACUAUAAAUAAAUAGAAAUGGAAUUCUAAAGAGUUUUCAAGUUACCCAUGGAAAAGUAGAGAGAAGACAACAGAGAAACAAAACCAAGAGAGACAAGCAAAAAGUAAAAUCACAGACAUAUGCCCUAACACAUAAGUGAUUACAUUAACUGGACUCUCGCCCAUUUCCCACAGACCUAUAUACCCCGCCUGCAAACCUGACUGAAAGGUCCACACACCACACCAGAGAGAUGUGGAGGGACGGAGCAUUCGUCAUAGACAGCAUUGGAGCCCCCGUCCCGGAACCCUGAGCAUGCCUGCAGGUAGUGGAAGGUUUGCCUUCAUCAGCAAACACCAGAUGCCUUUCACAUCUUAC